UACGUAGGGGGCAAGCGUUGUCCGGAUUCAUUGGGCGUAAAGAGCUCGUAGGCGGUUCAGCAAGUCGGGUGUGGAACCUCCAGGCUCAACCUGGAGACGCCACCCGAUACUGCUGUGACUUGAGUCCGGUAGGGGACCACGGAAUUCCUGGUGUAGCGGUGAAAUGCGCAGAUAUCAGGAGGAACACCGGUGGCGAAGGCGGUGGUCUGGGCCGGAACUGACGCUGAGGAGCGAAAGCGUGGGGAGCGAACAGG
rnacentral:rRNA from 1 species